rnacentral:lncRNA from 1 species
UUAUUAUUAUUACCUCCAUGCACUAAAUUCAAAUCUUGCUCAAUAACCUUUUCUUCUAAUUUCCCCAAAACCCUAACUCCUGAAUCAGUUUUCACUGCAGCUAUAUCUCUAUUAUUAUUACUCAAAUUCAAAUUCAGAUUUGAAUUCAAAUCAGAUUGACCUAAUUUCAAGCUAUUCGAACUUUUGGAACCGUAUAGAAUCUCCUCAUCAUCGCUGGGGAUUCUAUCGGAGGAACGUACCGGCGGCGAUUGCAGAGGAGGUGCAGACGACGUCGUUUGAAGCGGCUGGAGUACAUCGGUGUAUAGAUCUCCGAACUCAUCAUCGUCUUCCAUUAUUAGACCCUAAAUAACAACGAAAUUAGGGUUUCAAGUAUGAACAAGAUGGUUGAAGUAUUGAUUGAUUGGUUAAAGAAGUUGAAUUUGUGAGUUAAUUCAUCGGAAUUGAAGGAUUUGGGGAUGUGGAGGAUGCAAUUGUUGCCGCAGUGGAGAUUUUAUGUUGGAGUUAUAUACUAUUUCUGUUGA